CCCUUAGAUGUUCUGGGCCGCACGCGCGCUACACUGAUGCAUUCAACGAGUCCAACCUUGACCGAGAGGUCCGGGUAAUCUUUGAAACUGCAUCGUGAUGGGACUAGAUUAUUGCAAUUAUUAAUCUUCAACGAGGAAUGCCUAGUAAGCGUGAUUCAUCAAAUCGCGUUGAUUACGUCCCUGCCCUUUGUACACACCGCCCGUCGCUCCUACCGAUUGAGUGUGUUGGUGAGGAGUUUGGAUUGGCCUCGGAAGGUGGUUCGCCACCGUCCGUAGCUGAGAAGUUCUCCAAACCGCCCCACUUAGAGGAAGGAGAAGUCGUAACA
rnacentral:rRNA from 1 species